rnacentral:rRNA from 1 species
UACAGAGAGUGCGAGCGUUAAUCGGAAUUACUGGGCGUAAAGCGUGCGUAGACGGUUAUGUAAGUCGGGUGUGAAAGCCCCGGGCUCAACCUGGGAAUUGCAUUCGAGACUGCAUAGCUAGGAUGCGGAAGAGGGAAGCGGAAUUUCCGGUGUAGCGGUGAAAUGCGUAGAUAUUCGCAAGAACACCAGUGGCGAAGGCGGCUCACUGGCCCGGUACUGACGCUGAGGUGCGAAAGCGUGGGGAGCAAACAGGG